rnacentral:rRNA from 1 species
GACGAACGCUGGCGGCGUGCUUAACACAUGCAAGUCGAACGAAGAGCGAUGGAAGCUUGCUUCUAUCAAUCUUAGUGGCGAACGGGUGAGUAACGCGUAAUCAACCUGCCCUUCAGAGGGGGACAACAGUUGGAAACGACUGCUAAUACCGCAUACGAUCUAACCUUGGCAUCGAGGAUGGAUGAAAGGUGGCCUCUAUUUAUAAGCUAUCACUGAAGGAGGGGAUUGCGUCUGAUUAGCUAGUUGGAGGGGUAACGGCCCACCAAGGCGAUGAUCAGUAGCCGGUCUGAGAGGAUGAACGGCCACAUUGGGACUGAGACACGGCCCAGACUCCUACGGGAGGCAGCAGUGGGGAAUCUUCCGCAAUGGACGAAAGUCUGACGGAGCAACGCCGCGUGAGUGAUGACGGCUUCGGGUUGUAAAGCUCUGUUAAUCGGGACGAAAGGCCUUCUUGCGAAUAGUGAGAAGGAUUGACGGUACCGGAAUAGAAAGCCACGGCUAA